rnacentral:lncRNA from 1 species
AACUGUGGAAAACAGGCGUGUAAAGCAUAUACAGAAUAUCUUCCAAAGUUCAUCUCUUCACAAAUUAAAUCCCUAUUUCCUUUGGUCCUACAAGGAAACACAUUAAUUUUUGCCUCAUUAUUAAAGGUGGAAGCCUCAGCUGUGACUGUUUGUCUUAUACCCUUAUUCGCAUUUGGUACAGAGGGAGCCAUUGUCUGACCCUGGAGUUAAUAAUGCUUUUACUGAUUUUUAUUUUUUUAAAAGAUAUUCUCUGAACAAUGUUGUUGAUGGGAAUGGAUGUAGCAGCUUUUUAGAUUUCCUUUGAGCUUCUCCUGAAAGCAGGUAAUGAAUUAUUAAGCAAGAUGAUUACCUUAACUGGAAUGUGGCUAUUUCAUCAGUGACGUUGGGGAUAGGCUCAGGGAGUGGACAGGUUUCCCAGGGAAGUUUAGAAAAUCAGAGAUGGGAAACACCUCUCUUUUUCCCAUUUGUUACGGGACGGCUGUAAUAGCUCCCAGAACCUACCCUGAUUCCUUCCAUAUGGCCGCUGUCUUUCUCGGAGCUACAUAUGUAUCACCAAGGAAGGGAAGGAACUUUUCUCUUCGCCUUUGGAGAACACUUCACCCAGCCAGUGAGCCACGAAGUGCACAGAAUGUGAAUUCUCCUUUGCCAGGAAGCUCGGGCAGAGGGGUAAUGAGGUGUGUAUUUGGAGAAGCAAGAAGAUUCCAAUCUCUGCAAAGAUUUCUAAGGACUAGAAUUCUAACUAAGGGUUGUUUUACACUCUAAGGAGGAGUGGGCCAACUGCUGAUGAAUAUACAACAAAUACAGGAGCAUUCAGGGAGCUGUGAGCACAUCCAUCCACUUCACCAGUAGCUGACACUACUGAGUAUACCUCCAUGAAUAUUUUAUCUGAGGAUGAUAUUCAUAACAUCUGCUAACAAAAGGGGGAUUGGUAUAUGGCACCAUGCCCAUUCACCCUGUUCCUGGGGUACAGAUGGAUAGGUGGCUGUUUUUAUUUGCAUGGUGGUAGCACAGAGGGAGCCAAUCACAAAUCCAGACCCACAGAGGUGGAUAUAAUAUAUGGAGAUAUACCUAUCUCAUAGAGCUGGAAGGGACCCUGAAAGGUCAUUGAGUCCAGCCCCCUGCCUUCACUAGUAGAACCAAGUACUGAUUUUUUGCCCCAGAUCCCUAAGUUGAACUCACAACCCUGGGCUUAGUAGGCCAAUGCUCAAACCACUGAGCUGUUCUCUUCCCCCCAGGUGUGCAGUGUGUGCAGUUAUGUAGUUAAUUUCCCUUUUACCUUUCUGCUAAAUACUGGAAGUUUCAUUUCAGCGUGAGCUGCAAAUUAUCCUGCCUGAGCACGGGGGGAUAGACUAGAUGACUUCUUGAGAUCCCUUCCAGCCCUACAUUUCUGUGAUUCUAUGACUUUGUCCCGUUGCUCUACAGUCAGGGUAAAUUCCUAUCACUGUAUAUGCUCCCAU